UACGUAGGGUGCAAGCGUUGUCCGGAAUUAUUGGGCGUAAAGAGCUCGUAGGCGGUUUGUUGCGUCGGCUGUGAAAUCCCGAGGCUCAACCUCGGGUCUGCAGUCGAUACGAGCAAACUAGAGUGUUGCAGGGGAGACUGGAAUUCCUGGUGUAGCGGUGAAAUGCGCAGAUAUCAGGAGGAACACCAGUGGCGAAGGCGGCCGCCUGGGCCAGUCCUGACGCUGAGCCGCGAAAGCGUGGGGAGCGAUCCGG
rnacentral:rRNA from 1 species